rnacentral:sRNA from 1 species
AUAGCCUAACGGCUGAACCAGCAACUUGGAGGAAUGUAUAGCAAUUGCUAUUUGCACUAAAGGUUUUAGUGUAAAAUCGACUUUGUCGAAUAAAAUUCUGGAUAGAAUUAUGAUAAUGACAUUACCUAUCCAUAAGUCUUGACCAAAUUACGUGCCAGCAGUCGCGGUAAUACGUAGAAGACAAGUGUUAUUCAUCUUUAAUAGGUUUAAAGGGUACUUAGACGGUAAAUAAAGCCUCCAAAAGGGACUAAUUUGCUAGAGUUUUAUAUGAAGGAGUUUUAAAGUACUACUGGUGUAGAGAUGAAAUUCAGUUAUACCUUACAUGGCACAGGUUAAGGCGAAAGCAUCUUCUUAUGUAAAAACUGACGUUGAAGGACGAAGGCUUUGUGUCUCGAACAGGAUUAGAUACCCUAGUAGUCUAAGCAGAAAAUGAUGAAUGUCAUAGAUUAGAUUUAAUUUGAUCUGUAAAUGAAAGUGUAAGCAUUCCACCUCAAGAGUAAUUUGGCAACAUUGGAACUGAAAUCAUUAGACCGUUUCUGAAACCAGUAGUGAAGUAUGUUGUUUAAUUUGAUAAUCCGCAAAAAACCUUACCACAAUUUGAAUAGAUAUAUUUUAUCAUACAAGCGUUGCACGGCUGUCUUCAGUUAAUGUCGUGAGACUUUGGUUAGUUCCAUUAAAUUAACGUAAACCCUUACUUUAUUUUUAUAUAAAGUAGUUCACCGCUAUAUUGGAU